rnacentral:tRNA from 1 species
GCGGGUAUGGCGGAAUCGGCAGACGCAACAGACUUAAAAUCUGUCGGGAAUUAUUCCCGUGCCAGUUCAAGUCUGGCUACCCGCACCA